CUGGUUCCGGUUCACGUCCCGCGGCACUCCGCCGCCCCUGACGACCCGGCGACC
rfam:Angustibacter sp. Root456 contig_1, whole genome shotgun sequence.